GUUCCCCCAAUCGUUCAUGAUACGGUUGAACCUCCAGACCCCUUACCAUCUUUGUUGUCCUUCUCUGCACUCUUACUAGAAUCUCAACAUCUUUUUUGUAGCACAGUGACCAGAAUUGGAUUCUAUAUUCCUCACUAGUUUGAGGAAUAGGACUAUUAUUGAGUAUUGUACCUGAAGAUUCCUGAUGAAUGUAUCUUUUCUUUUAUGUACACUGAGAGUCUUUGCACCAAGACAAAUUCCUUGUGGGUCCAAUCACACUUGGCCAAGAAAGAAUUCUAUUUUAUUCUGUUCUAUCAUGGCAAAUUUUGCUGCAGUUGCUGUGAUUUUGGCCUUUCUUGAAUACUGGUCCAAGUCCAUGAAGCUCUAGCUCAGAUGGCCAAAGUGCAGUCCAGACCAUCUUGGUUUAAAUCAGGGGUGUCCAAUCUUGGCAACUUUCAGACAGAUGAACAUGGCUGGUUCCGGAAUUCUGGGAGUUGAAGUCCCCAGGUCUUAGAGUUGCCAAGACUGAAUACUCUAAUUUAAAUAAUCGAGACUGCUAAACAGUAGCAGACACAUCUACAAGCCAGAGUAAAGGGUCUUCUUGUUGGUCAUGCAAACAAGAUCUAUGUCAAUCUGGAAUUAGAUUUAAGUCAAAUAGAUGGGGACUUCAAA